rnacentral:rRNA from 1 species
AAGUCGUAACAAGGUUUCCGUAGGUGAACCUGCGGAAGGAUCAUUACCGAGUUAGGGUGUCCGCCUUCGGGCGCGCCCGACCUCCAACCCUUUGCUUACUUGACCUUUUUGUUGCUUCGGCAGGCCCGUCUUGCUCGUGCGAACGAGUCGGACCGCCGGGGGUGCUUCGUCGCCUCUGGCCCGCUGCCUGCCGACGGCCCAAUUUCCAAACUCUUGUUAAAAUAACCUGUCGUCUGAUAACUUGUUAUUAAACCAAUAACUAAAAACUUUCAACAACGGAUCUCUUGGUUCUGGCAUCGAUGAAGAACGCAGCGAAAUGCGAUAAGUAAUGCGAAUUGCAGAAUCCGUGAGUCAUCGAAUCUUUGAACGCAUAUUGCGCCCUUUGGCAUUCCGAAGGGCAUGCCUGUUCGAGCGUCAUUAUCACCCCUCAAGCCCGGCUUGCUGUUGGAUCACGUCCCCCGAUUCCGGGCGGGCUGGUCUCAAAGAUAAUGACGGCGUCUGUGAGGACUCCAAGUACACUGAGCUUUCGGGCACGUACUCGGCGAAUCCAGGCCCGGUCUUUAACCACAUUUUACCAAGGUUGACCUCGGAUCAGGUAGGAAUACCCGCUGAACUUAA